UUAUUUAUUCAUAAAUAAAAAAUAACAUAAACUUUUAUUUUUGAUAUUUUCUAUUAUUUUAUUUACAAAUUAUAAAUUUAUUUUACUAUUAAAAUCUAUAAAAUAACUAAACUAAUAAAACUAGAGUACGAUACAUAAUCUAAACCUAAAUUUCCAAAAUCACAAAGAAAAAGCAAAAUACUAUAGUAACACUAACUCAGUAAAAGUCUGGAACACAAAUGAAUGCGAUCAAGCACCAACCCAAAAAAUCAAAAAAACCGGUCUGAAGGAGAAUAAUUAAUGGAAGAUAAAAGUCACCACGAAGCACGAAAACACAUGCCUAAAGCACAACCACCAGCUAAGAGUUAAGAAGCACCUCACAAACAAACAACCACAUACAAGGCGCUCAUUGCCAACGAAGAAUCACAAAGCUCUGAAUAGACCAAAGCUCCAAGAGACUAACUCCACACACCUAUACCAAAGGAAGCAGGAAAAGAAGAAAAACAACAUAAAUGAGGGAGAAUGGAAGCUAGCCACAAAGAAACCAAAUCUCAAGUUUGAGACAAGAAAUAAUCUUCCAAGCCCACAUAACAUACACGAAGGAAAACACUAUCCAAAUCUGGAGUGGCAAACAUGGCGAAAUGGAGAGCCACCAAAGACGCAGCCAGCGAUGAAAAGUGCAACGAGAUGAGAGAACAAAGAGAGAAAAGGAGACUACAAAAAAAUCAAUAAACUGUGGAGCCAUCCUCGAUCUAUGAAGAGAAUGUAAAAGUCAAAUCAGCAAAAACUAGAUCUUAAAAACCAAGACGAGCAGUGACUAUCAACGACAAGCCAACUACGAGGAAGACAACAUUAAAGACAACUAAACUCUG
rnacentral:lncRNA from 1 species